UACGGAGGGUGCAAGCGUUAUCCGGAUUCACUGGGCUUAAAGGGUGCGUAGGCGGGCAGGUAAGUCAGUGGUGAAAUCCUGGGGCUUAACCCCAGAACUGCCGUUGAUACUAUCUGUCUUGAAUCCUGUGGAGGUGAGCGGAAUAUGUCAUGUAGCGGUGAAAUGCUUAGAUAUGACAUAGAACACCAAUUGCGAAGGCAGCUCACUGCGCAGGCAUUGACGCUGAGGCACGAAAGCGUGGGGAUCAAACAGG
rnacentral:rRNA from 1 species